UACGGAAAAUGCAAACAUUGCUCGGAAUUAUUGGGCGUAAAGCGCACGUAGACGAUCUCGUAAGUCGAAUGUGAAAGCCCGCAGCUCAACUGCGGAACUGCCUUCGAUACUGCCGGGCUUGAGGGCGGGAGGGGUGAUUGGAACUCCAGGUGUAGCGGUGAAAUGCGUAGAUAUCUGGAGGAACACCGGAGGCGAAGGCGAAUCACUGGACCGCUUCUGACGCUGAGGCGCGAAAGCUAGGGGAGCAAACAGG
rnacentral:rRNA from 1 species